CCUUAAUGAGAUCGGUUGUUAAUUCGGAAGAAACUAGCGAUUUCAAAAUACCUACUAAUUUCAAACCUGUCAGCUAUGAACUGAACGUGACCACGCACUUGGAGGAUAAAUUCAUAUUUGAAGGAGUAGUUUGUAUUCGUAUGACAUGCGUAGGAGCUACCGAUACCAUAGUGUUGCAUUCAACCAGUUG
rnacentral:misc_RNA from 1 species